rnacentral:lncRNA from 12 species
AGGCCGCAGCAUCCCUCCCCAGGCCUCUCCGGGCAGGAACCAGCCAUUGUUUGGCAGCGGUGCCGAAGCCCAGAAUAUUAACAUCUUUCUCAGGUUGAUCUCCUCCUUCCCCCCCCCUCGCCCCACCCCCAUCCUGCUCAUUUGAAAUCCCUGCAAUUCGGGGGAGAAAGUUACUUUAAUCCUCUGGUUCCUAUCAGCCUAAUUACAGUUUCAAUAGACAAACGGGCCUGGCUCUAAAUGAGAUCGGAGGACACAGGAACACAUUAUGUUGGCGCUAAUAAUGAUCUGUCUUUGUUUUAUCAUUUCAUGUUGUUGCUUCUCAUUUUGGCUGCCUGAAUUCUUAAUGCCUUCGAGUGUCUCGCGGAGAUUGCUUCCUCUUGCUGCCAGGCCGGGACACAGUUGCAGACUUGCAUAUGAAAACACCCAGCCUGGUGCCUGCAGCUAACAAGCCAGCCACCAUUUAAAUUUCAAUCAGCCCUUCUGUUUGUGUGUAAGUUCUUUGGAUGGUUGAAAUUAGCAAUUUUGAAAAAUUGAUUAAAAUUGCUGGUUUCAUGAAGCCUCAAAACAUCAAAAUCAAUCUUUCUUUUUUUUUUUUUUUAAACACACCGAAAUUCUUGUUGGACUUACCAUGUCUGCAGUAUGGGAAACUGCCAAGUGUGCCGGGGAUGCGGUGGAGAAGGCUUGUUGCCACGUAGCCUGGGGGCAAGACACACAUGGCCUCUCCCUGCACAGCCUGGCUGUCACCAGCACCAGGAGAGGAAGGACCGUGGAGCCCGCACCUGCAAAGUCACCCUAGAAGUCUCUGGGCCCCUCGGAGCGAGAAGAUGUGGGGGAGAGUGCUGUGUGCUCCUGGCUGGUGCCUCGCAGAUCCCCUUCUGGAUCCGGUGUCUUCGGUGGUCACGGCCCUGCACACAGAAGGAGCUCCCCAGAAAGUCACCAGGACCCUUCCGGAGAGCACCACAUCGGCUCUUGUGCCCUCAAAUCUGCUACUAGUUUAACUGAAACCCUAAGGUCUCUCAUUUCAGCGAGACUCCCCACAAAUGCACACCCCAUGGGUCAGCAAAAGGAAAUCUGUUUCCAGGCAGGAUCCAGAAUCACAGCCUGCUGUAGACCCUCCCCGGCUGCUGUGUGGGACUUGGGAGUUGGGACUUGUGUCCACUUAGAGGCAUCUCAGGGAAGGUUCAUGGCGGCCUGGAGCAGCCGGCCUGACAAUGGUUCUUGUACAGAUGAGGAAACUGAGCUUCGCAGUGGUAGAGGAAUUGGCUCAAGAUCAGCCACUGAAAGGGAGAAAGCCGGCUCCGGUCUGUGUGUCCCCACGGUUUUCCACCGCACCUCGCUGUCUGUGAGCUUUUGUGUGGUUAUUAAACACUGGCCGCCUUCUGGAGAAUUCAGUGGCC